AUCAACCAAGAAGGUCACUGGCUGGCCCCCCACUUUAAGGAUUAUCCAAGGCUUGGGGGGCUCCUGGCCCUGAUACCCCUAAUUUUUAUUUUUUAGGGACAGAACGGCAAUGGGCUUCUUCUUGGGUCCCUGCGUUUGGCCCUUCUUUGGACAAUCUUUAACCCAAUGUUCUUUUUCCUUGCAGUAGGCACGCUGGUCUCGUUCAACCUGUGGUUUUCUUUUGUCUCCCAGGUCCUUACUCUGUCCGGACUUACUCUGCCCUGAGCCCUGUACUAUGGUGGCCAGUAUCCCAGUCAGUUCUUUAUUGCGUUUCUUUUAUCUCUUUUAUUCCCUCGUUCCUCUUGCUCUUUACGGAUCCUUUCCUCCCUUUCCUCUGGGGUGUCUUUCUCUCUCUCUCUUUAAGUAUACAUACGGCAGCCCUCUAUUAAUCUUUUCAGAAAACCUGUCGGCGUCUCAUCUUUUCCCUGCACUAUAGCACGUACCUUUGCCAAAUUGGUGGGGCAUCUCCCUGCCCCUCUGAGACCCGCUAGGAGUACCUGGCGAUAGAGACGGAGCCGCUCCCUACCGGCAGCAGUGUCACAGUCCCAGGUCGGGCAAACCAAGGGGAAAACAUCCUCAAUUUUAUUAGGCAGCUGGGUCGGCCUCCCAUCCGCCCCCGGGACGCUUUUCCGUGCUUCGAGGUAGAAGUGCUGUCUCCUCCGUGGUGAGGAGAGUCUGCAGGAGCUGUUGGCAGUCAUCCCAGGUUGGCUGGUGGGUCAACAGAAUUGACUCAAUUAACCCGGUUAGCGCCUGGGGGUCUUGGGAGAAAGUGGGGUUAUGAGUUUUCCAGUUGUAAAGGUCAGAGGCAGAGAACGGCCAGUAUUGCAUCUGGCCGCCUACUGAUUGGAGGGGAAGUGCCCGGGAGGUCCGGACGUCUUCCAACUCCCCGUAGCUCUCUCGUCGAAAGCGGAGGCGGCUGGAGAGCGGGGGUGAAGCGAGGGGUCGCCUCUCUACCCCAGUAGAGUCGGGGGAGGGAGCUGAGGGAGCGGAGGGAGAGGUAGGGCGGGGAAUAAGGGGAGUGGCGCAGGGAGGGGGUGGGGGUCUCGGCCCGGUCCCCCCUGAGAAGGGGUGAAGCAUUUUAUCCAGGGGGGUGGGUUUUUAGCGAGAUCCUCCCAAACUAUGAUGUACGGCACCUGAUCAAGGUGUCCAUUGGGUCCUGGCUGAAAGACCAGGGCCUUCACCUGCAAGAUAACACCAAUGUUAAAAGAUUCAUUCCUGGGCCACCCGACGUUGAAAGCCGGCCACUCUGAGGAGCAGAAGGUGACCCAUUUUCGUCUUCUGACUUCGACCAAAAGGUUGUGUGCCCGGCCGGUGACUUCUUUCCAGUGAUCUAGAGUGAGGCUUAGAGGGGUGGUUACAGUCUGUCCCAUGGGUGUAGAAAAGAGGUGAGCAGUGAGGAAGAGGACAGAGAGAAAGACACAGAACAAACAGA
rnacentral:lncRNA from 1 species